rnacentral:rRNA from 1 species
UACGUAGGGGGCUAGCGUUGUCCGGAAUCAUUGGGCGUAAAGCGCGUGUAGGCGGUCCGGUAAGUCCGCUGUGAAAGUCGGGGGCUCAACCCUCGGAUGCCGGUGGAUACUGUCGGGCUUGAGUACGGAAGAGGCGAGUGGAAUUCCUGGUGUAGCGGUGAAAUGCGCAGAUAUCAGGAGGAACACCGGUGGCGAAGGCGGGACUCUGGGCCGAUACUGACGCUGAGGAGCGAAAGCGUGGGGAGCAAACAGG